rnacentral:misc_RNA from 1 species
UGGUUCUGGCAUCGAUGAAGAACGCAGCGAAAUGCGAUACGUAGUGUGAAUUGCAGAAUUCAGUGAAUCAUCGAAUCUUUGAACGCACAUUGCGCCCCUUGGCAUUCCUUGGGGCAUGCCUGUUCGAGCGUCGUCUAAACCCUCAAGCACUGCUUGGUGUUGGGCGCUUGUCCCCGUUCGCGGGGACUCGCCUCAAAAGCAUUUGGCGGCCCGCGCAUUCGGCGGCUUCGAGCGCAGCAGACCCGCGCCUCGUCCGCCCGCAGCGCGGGUGUCCAGCAAGCCACACCCCCCAUUCUUCGACCUCGGAUCAGGUAGGGAUACCCGCUGA